rnacentral:lncRNA from 1 species
GGAAAACGUGUUCUCAAAAGCUCAGUGAUGUUGAUCCUGGGAAUAAAAGUAUUAAUGUUUAGUAAUAUUCUUUCCAUUUAGAUCUACAGAGUUGGAUUCUAACUGGUCGUGGUUUCAGUUGCGAUGCAUGCAAGUUGGAGGAAACGCCAAUGCAUCUUCCUUUUUUCAUCAACAUGGGUGUGCCACCAAUGACACCAAUGCCAAGUACAACAGUCGCGCUGCUCAGCUCUAUAGGGAGAAAAUCAGAUCACUCGCUUCCCAAGCAACACGGAAGCACGGCACUGACCUGUGGCUUGAGAGUUGUGUGGUUCCACCUUCGUCCCCUCCACCAAAGGAGGAAGAUUUUUUUGCCUCUCAUGUUUCUCCUGAGGCGAGUGACGCAGCGUGGGCAUCAGCAAUAGCAGAGCCAGCUUCCUUGACAUCAAGGCCUGCGGAAACCACUUCAGAAAAUAACGAAGGUGGACAAGAACAAGGACCAAGUGUGGAAGGUCUUAAUGUACCAACAAAGGCUACUUUAGAGGUUUCCUCUAUCAUAAAAAAGAAACCAAAUCAAGCUAAAAAAGGCGUGAGUAUUCUGUACUUUAUAUAUAAAAUACCUGGUAGUUAAAGUUUAAAACUAAAAAGCCACUUUGUCAUUUUAAUUUUAUUCUUUUGAACCAUCUUAUGAUAAAUGUGGCUUUGAUAUAAGGAGUGUAUGUUUUGUUCAGAGAGAUUAAUGUUAUACUUAGCAAAUUUUUUUUAGAAUGAUUAUUUAACUUUUUUUCUAUGACAAAAUUCUGAAAAAAAUUAACAAAGGUCCCCUGGGGAUUUCUCUCCUGCUCGUGUGAUUCAAAAAGCAAUGAUGUCUCGUGAGGCUUAGAGGGUAGUCCUCUGGUGAGCUUUCAGAUACAGUGAUGUGUUGCAGAGCACUAGCUCUGGAGGCAGGUGCAGAGUUUGAAUCCUGGCCUUGCCAUUUAUUGGCUGUGUGAUCCUGGUCAUGUUGCUUAACUUCUAUGAGCUUUAUUUUCCUCAGCCCUCUGUAUCCAGGGGUUUUGCAUUCAUGGAUUUAACCAACUGCAGAUCAGAAAUAUUUGGGGGUGAGGGGGAACAAUAGACCAAGUGUAGUGACUCACACCUGUAAUCCCAGCACUUUGGGAGGCCGAGGCAGGUGGAUCACGUGAGCUC